rnacentral:rRNA from 1 species
CUACGGGUGGCUGCAGUGGGGAAUAUUGCACAAUGGGGGAAACCCUGAUGCAGCAACGCCGCGUGGAGGAUGACACAUUUCGGUGCGUAAACUCCUUUUAUAUAAGAAGAUAAUGACGGUAUUAUAUGAAUAAGCACCGGCUAACUCCGUGCCAGCAGCCGCGGUAAUACGGAGGGUGCAAGCGUUAUUCGGAAUCACUGGGCGUAAAGGGUGCGUAGGCGGUUUGGAAAGUCAGGUGUGAAAGCCCGGGGCUCAACUCCGGAACUGCACUUGAAACUUCCAGACUAGAAUACUGAAGGGGCAGAUGGAAUUAGUGGUGUAGGGGUAAAAUCCGUAGAUAUCACUAGGAAUACCGAAAGCGAAAGCGAUCUGCUGGGAAGUUAUUGACGCUGAGGCACGAAAGCGUGGGGAGCAAACAGGAUUAGAUACCCCGGUAGUC